GGGCCUAAGGGAAUUUGGUUCAGUUUUUUUCCUUCAACGUGAAACAAUUUUUCUUCAGAAUAAAACGCUCUCUCUUCUCUCCGUGUUCCAAACCCUAACCGCCGCCCCCUCUCUCCUCUUUUGCAAAACAAUGAACCGAUUAGAUUCUUCCUUCGCAUUCUCCAUCUUCCUUCGCAUUCUCCAUCUUCCUUCGUAUGUCUUUGAUGUAGUUAGAAGUACUAUUUCUGUGUUGGCAUUGCUGGUUUUGAUGUAAACACACUUGUUCAAAAUCUUAAAAUCACUAAUCUUUACUUUGUUAUAAUGUUUUUAUUUUCUCCCUCUGAAAAUCCAAUUAUAGAUUGAGUUUGUUGCUGGAACUGUAAAGUUUACUGAAAUUUCUUUUCCUAAAAUUUCUGGAUUUCUGAAAAUCACUAAUCUUUACUUUGUUAUAAUGUUUUUAUUUUGUAUUCAAAUCCUUAUUGGAAUAUCUCUGCAUAUAUGAUUGAUUAAAAUUUGGGUGGUUAAAAUUGCAUCUAACUUUUUUUCUUUUCAAAAUAUUAAAUCUCUAGACUUUAAAUUGUUUUGCUGGGUGGAAUUUGAUUUUAGAAUCAAAGAUGUUGCAAAACCUAUGGAUAUGUAUUUACGGAAAACAUACCGAUUAUUUUAACAAAACAUAGAAACCGAAAGAGCAUGUUUUUAAUUUGGUUAGAGUUGUAAGUAUGGAAAUAAAACAAGAAAUUUGGUUAUAUUAUUGGGAAUUAAUAUUUUCCGGUGGGUUAUAAAUGAUUGAAUUAAGGUUAAAGUUUUAUAUAUGAUUUUAAAUAGAAUAUGUAAAAAAAAAUAGAAUAUGUAAAAAAAAAAUGAAGUUUAACAUAGAAAUUAUUUUCUUUAAAUUGAAAUUAAAUAUUGACGUUUUAAUUUCUUACACAAGAUUCAAAUUUCAAGAUUAAUAUGACUUAGGAAUAGCACAAUUCUUCCUAUGUAAAAGUGUUAAAGUAGACUAAGUAGCAAUAGUUCUCAUUCCUUCGUUUUUCUUUGCUCCACCUUAACACGUCUAAUUUUAAAUCAAAAACUUAAUCCAAACUAGAUUUUUCGAAUCACCAUGGAAAGACUUCAACAAAUGUUUGUCCACCUCCCAAUUGCCCAUCCAUAGAUUCCUCUGAGUAAGUCUACAUCUCGUCCCUCCCUCUUCUCAAGAUGCUCAAACACGGUAAAGUCCCUUUUUUUUUAACCUAAUAAAAUCAUUGUCUAUCCAAUUUUCAAAAUUAAGGUUUCAUCAAUUCAUAUUUAUUUUGUCAUAUCUCGAGUAUAAUAGGUAGGGUUGGUGCUCACUUGGUAUGGUUAUGGGUUUGAUGCAUGGAUAAUUCAUGGAUAAGUACAUUGUUCGCGUGGUUGAUGUGUUUGCAAUGCCACAUAGUGGAAUUGGUGUAAGUGUUGAAACUGUUAAUCGUGUUUUUUAGACUAAUAUGCUCAAACAAACGAGGUGGUAUUUUGUUUUUUUGAAGUUUAUUUAUUAUGUGUUCUUUGUGUAUGGUUAAAUUCGUGAAUUUGUUUGUGUUUGUUACUUUGUUAUUGAUUGUGUUUUGCAAACCAGAUAUGGUUGUUGGAUGGUACCAUUCAUAUUCUAGAUUUGGAUGUCGAUUGUCUAGUGUUGACAUCAAUACACAAUAGGUUCUAUUACAGUCCUUUUUGUUUUAUGUCUUGUUUCUAUAUGUAUGUUUGGAUUAAUGAUAUGUGAUGGAAUGAAAUAGAGGUUUUAUGUCUUGUUUCUAUAUAUGUUUGGAUUAAUGAUAUGUGAUGGAAUGAAAUAGAGUGGAGUGACCGGUAAUCAUAUUCCAUUGUUUAGAGUUUUUAAAUAAUAGAUGAAGCAUGAUGGAGCAUGAUGGAUUCCACUCCAUCCAAUCCUUCAAUUUUCAUUCUGUUCAAUUUGGGUUGCAUGCAAUUGAAAGAACUAUAUAGUUAUGUUUCAUUCCAUCAAGUUAUCUUUCUCUAUAAAAAAAUUUAUAACUAUUUAGAGGUCGCUACCGUAAUCAGGUUAUUAUAAUACUUUUAGCUCAACCAGGUAAUUAUAACAUUUUUAUUUAUCAUUUUGUUUUUGUUUUUUUAGUUUUACUAAUUUUUUUAUUAUUAUUUGUUUUUAGAGUUUUGCUAAUUUUGAGAGUUUGAUGUCAACAUCAUGGUCGUUUUUUAGUAUAUGACAAGUUUUAAUUUUUAGAAUUAUCAGUGGCGUAAACAUGGUACUUGUUCCGGAGAUCAUGAAGAUCAUAGAGUAAGGUAUAUUAAUAACGUCCUAAGAUUGUUCCAUAUAACCUUAUGUUUUCCAGAGCAAGUACCAUGUCUAAGUCAUUGGUAGUUCCACAAAUUACGAUUGAUCAUACACCAUUGAUAGUUUCAUCCAUCCAACCCUCUAAUUCGGUAGAAAUCUAAAAAUAAUAGUAAAAUAAAAUAAAAUGAUAAAUAAGAGUGUUAUCAUUAUCUGGUUGUGUUCGAGACCUCUAAAUAGUUCUUAAUCUAUAUGAAAUCUAUACCUGACACGUUCACUAGUUAAAGAAAACGUUCAUAUUUUUAUUUUUUUUCCUCUUUGUCUGAUUUCCAAAACCACAUUUUCAAGAUGUAUUUACAUAACCAUUGCAAUUUGCAUUUUUGUAAGGGCAAAUGCAUUUGAUUGAUUACUAUGUUGAUGCACACUGACUUGACUUCUAUUAUCCUCUUUGUCAGAACUAGUUAGAGGUCACUACUGUAACCAGGUAAUUAUAGCACUUUUAGCGCAACUGGGUAAUUAUACAAUUUUUAUUUAUCAUUUUGUUUUGUUUUUUAGUUUUGCUAAUUUUUUUAUUAUUUGUUUAUAGAUUUUUGCUAAUUUUGAGAGUUUGAUGGCAACAUCAUGGUCAUUUUUUUUAAUAUAGGACCAAUUUUAAUUUUUGGAACUAUCAAUGGAUGAAACACGCUACUUGUUUCGGAGAAAGGUAUAUUAAUUAUAUCCUAGGAUUGUUUCAUAUACCUUAUCUUAUGUUGUCUAGAACAAGUAUCGUAUUUUAGUCAUGGGUGGAUCCACAAAUUAUGGUUGGUCAUACGCCAUUGAUAGUUCCAGCCAUCCGACCCUCUAACUCAGUAAAAAUCUAAAAAAAUAGGAAAAUAAUAAACCAAGUGUUAUCAUUAUCUGGUUAUGGUAGAGACCUCUAAAUAGUUCUUAACUUAUAUUUUGUUUUCCACAAAAUUAUGACAUAGGUGAAAAAAGGUAAGAGGUUCAAGGGUUUCGGAAAUUUUAACGAUUGGAUGAGUCGGGUAGCUAAUGGACUGGGUAUCUAAAGGUGAAGGGAAUUUAAUUUGUUGUCAACUCCACACUUUAUUUUGACACCCCACAUUUGGAAUAUAAAUACCAAGACAAGAUGCGUAGAAGCUGCAAGGAUUAAAGAAAAUCUGAAAGCUACAAAGAUUAAAGAAAAUCUAGAGAAUGCAGGUUUGGCACAGGAGAGUUUUACCAACCAGGGUGGCUGGGUCUGCACAAGUUCUUGCAAAUGUCUCUAACUUGUGUUCGCUAAAUCAUUUCAUUGUUUAAUUUUAAAUUUUGAAUUUCUUUUUUAAUUUAUAGUUUUGUUUUAAUUUAUAGUUUUGUUGCAUAGAAUUUAUAAUAUCUUCGUGUCAUGUUCUAAUGGAAAAUUAGAGCACAAGCUUGCAAGUGAUGGCUGUAAAAGAAAGGUAGUUCGUGCAACAAUCUUCUAAUUAUAAGGUACACAAAUUUAUUUAUUUUGGGGAGGGGUGGGGGCAAUUUAACUUAGUUCUUUAUGUUGAGAUGCUCCUCAGCAAUAAGCACCGACUCCUCAACAACAGCCAUCGGCUCCCGAACAACAGCCACCGCCUCAACCUCAACAACCUCAUCCUGAACCACCUGCUCGUCCACAUCAGUCCACAUCAGUGGGUGCUCUACCACCCCGUCGGCGAGCUGCGCGGAACCCCCUACCCGCCUGCUCAGCCAUCCGUUUUCGCUUAGAACCGGUCGGAGGAACGCGUCCAACACGUAACACAGAGGUAUCAGCCUCAUCAAGAGCCGCCUGAGCACAAGCAUUGACUCUAUCAAUGGCCUGACCUGCAACAGUACCAUCUCUACCUCUAAUCCGCACUGAAAAAUUAAAAAUAUAAGCAAAAUAGCAUUUUUAAAAAAAUAGAAAUACCAGAAAUUUCAAAAUUUCUUGUAUGUGAAAUUGUACUGGAAAUUUCAAAAAUUUUAGUAUUUCUAUAAUUUUAUAAAAAUUACAGAAAUUUUCGGUAGAAAAUAUCGGAAAUUUCACAAUUUUCUGUACAAACUACUGAAAAUUUCAUAAAAUCUACCAGAAACUUGUUUUCGCCAAAUUUUUGGUAUCGCUAAAAGAUUUGAAAAAUCUGAUAUUUCACGUAAAUUUCCUAAAAUGUGGUAAUAAUUUUUUUUUUUGAACAUUUAAAUCAUUUCAAACAUAUUGGGAGUGCCAAGUAUAAUUUUGGCUGUGACAAGUUAAAUUCUCAAGAAAUUCUCAUUUUGAAUGGGUAAGUAGUCCCUUUAUGGACUUGUUAAAGAUUUUGGGCUUAGGGGAAUAAGAGAGGGAGAACAAAGAGUUCCCAUUUUUCUAGUUUUUCCUAGUUUCUUUUCUUUUCACUUCAACGUGCAACCAUUUUUCUUCAGAAUAAAACGCUCUCUCUUCUCUCCUUGUGCCAAACCCUAGCCGCCGACCCCUCUAUCCUCUUUUCCAACCACCACGAACUCAAAACAAAUAACACUAUUUGCUUGCUCAUCAUCGCGUGGCCAUCAUAAUGAACCGAUUAUAUUCUUCGUUCGAAGAACAUCACCGUCUUCCUUCGCAUUCUCCAUCUUCCUUCACAUUCUCCAUCUUCCUUCGUAAUGUUACUAUGUUUUGGGUCUUGCUGGUUUUGAUGUAAACACACUUGUUCAGAAUCUUAACUUUUAUCGCUGGAACGGUAAAGUUUACUUUAUCCAUGGGGAAAUUGCUUUUCCAAAAGUUUCAGGAUUUCUAGAAAUCACAAAUCUUUACUUUAACAAUUCACUUUUGUUAUUUGUCUAAAAAAAAAUCACUUUUGUUAUAAUGUUUUUAUUUUGUCUUUAAAUCCUUAUUGGAAUUUCUCUGCUUAAGAUUGAUUAAAAUUUGGGUGGCUAAACUUAUUUUUAGACUUUAAAUUGUUUUGUUGGGUGGAGUUUGACUUAAGAAUCAAAGAUGUUGCAAAACUUAUGGAUUUGUAUAUACUGAAAACAUUCUUUAUUAUUUUUUAAAUUUGGAAACAUAAAUAGCAAGAAAAUUAAAUAUGGUUAUUUUAUUGGGAAUUAAUAUUUUCCGGUCGGUUAUAAAUGAUUGAAUUAAGGUUAAAGUUCUACAUAUGACUUUGAAUAGAAUAUGUAAAAAAAAUGAAUUUCGAAAUAGAAAUUAUUUUCUUUAAUUUGAAAUUAAAUGAUGACAUUUUAAUUUCUUAUACAAGAUUCAAAUUUCAAGAUUAAUAUGACUUGUGAAUAGAACAAUUCUUUCUUAAUAAAAGUGUUAAAGUUAUACUAAGUAGCAAUAGUUCUCAUUCCUUCGUCUAUCUUUGCCUCACUUUCAAAAAUCUUACUAUAACCACUUCUAAUUUUGAAUAAAAAACCUAAUCCAAACUAGAUUUUUCAAAUCACCAUGGAAAGGCUUCAAAAAAUGUUUGUCAGUGCUGGUGAACCCAUAGCUCAUCCACCUCCAGAAUUCCCAACUCUAAAUUCCUCCGAGCAACUCUAUAUCUCAUCCCUCCCUCUUCUCAAGAUGCUCAAACACGGUAGGGUUGGUGCCCCCAUGUGUGGUUUAUGGGUUUGAUGCUUGGAGAAUUUGUGGAUGAGUACACCGUCCGCGUGGUUGAUGUGUUUGCAAUGCCACAAAGUGGAAUUGGUGGCAAAUGCAUUUGAUUGACUACUAUGCUGAUGCACACUGACUUCCAUUAUCUUUCUCUCGAAAAAAUUCAUAACUAUUUAGAGGUUGCUACCGUAACCAGGUAAUUAUAACACUUUUAGCGCAAUCAGGUAAUUAUAACACUUUUAUUUAUCAUUUCGUUUUGUUUUUUUAGUUUUAAUAAUUUUUUUAUUUUUUGUUUUUAGAUUUUUGCUAAUUUUGAGAGUUUGAUGACAAUCAUGGUCAUAGGAACAAAUUUUAAUUUUUGGAAUUAUCAAUGGCAUAAGCAUUGUACUUGUUCAGGAGAGCAUGAAGGUCAUAGAUUAAGGUAUAUUAAUAACGUCUUAGGAUUGUUCCAUAUACCUUACCUUAUGUUUUCAAGAGCAAGUACCGUGUCUUAGUCAUUGGUAGUUUUACAAAUUACGAUUGGUCAUACGCCAUUGAUAGUUCCAUCCAUCCGACACCUAAAUAGUUCUUAAUCUGUAUGAAAUCUAUACCCGACACGUUCAUUAGUUAAAGAAAAGUUCAUAUUUUUAUUUUUUUCUCUUUGUUUGAUUUCCUAGACUAUUUUUAUUCACUAGACUUUUUUGUUUUUGUUUCCUUCACCCUAUUUUCUGUAAGGGCAAAUGCAUUUGAUUGAUUACUAUGCUAACGCACACUGACUUCCAUUAUCCUCUUUGUUGGAAAAAUUCAUAACUAUUUAAAGAUCGCUACUGUAACCAGGUAAUUAUAGCACUUUUAUUUUAGCGCAACCAGGCAAUUAUAAAAUUUUUUUUUAUUAUUUUGUUUGGUUUUUUACUUUUGCUAAUUUUUUUUAUUAUUUGUUUUAAUUUUUUUUUUGCUGAUUUUGAGAGUUUGAUUGCAACAUCAUGGCCGUUUUUUAGUACAUGACAAAUUUUAAUUUUUGAAAUUAUCAGUGGGUUAAACAUGGCACUUGUUCCGGAGAGCUUAUGUUUUCCAGAGCAAGUACCGUGUCUAAGUCACUGGUAGUUCCACAAAUUACGAUUGGUCUUACGCCAUUUUUGAUAGUUCCUCCCAUCUGACUCUCUAACUCGGUAGAAAUCUAAAAAAAAAUUGUAAAAUAAAAUAAAAAGAUAAAUAAAAGUGUUAUCAUUAUCUGACGCACAUUGACUUCCAUUAUCCUUUUUUGUCAAAAAAAUUCAUAACUAUUUAGAGGUCGCUAUUGUAACCACGUAAUUAUAGCACUUUUAACGCAACUAGGUAAUUAUAAAUUUUUUAUUUAUUUGUUUGUUUUGUUUUUUAGUUUUACUAAUUUAUAAUAUCCUUGGAUUGUUCCAUAUACCUUACCUUAUGUUUUUCAGAACAAGUACCGUAUUUUAGUCAUUGGUAGUUCCACAAAUUAUGGGUGGUCAUAUGCCAUUGAUAGUUUCAGCCAUCCGACCCUCUAACUCAGUAGAAAUCUAAAAAAAAAUAGUAAAAUAAAAUAAAAUGAUAAAUAAAGUGUUAGCAUUUUUUGGUUGUGGUUGAGACCUCUAAAUAGUUCUUAAUCUAUAUUAUGACAUAGGUGAAAAAAGGUAAGUGGUUCAAGUGUUUUGGAUAUUUUAACGAUUGGAUGAGUCGGGUAGCUAAUGGACCGGGGUAGCUAAAGGUGAAAAGAAUUUAAUUUGUCGCCUUAUUUUGACACCCCACAUUUGGAAUAUAAAUACCAAGACAAGGUGAUCAUUGUAGUUAGUACCAGUUAGGGUUAUGUUAGGUUCCUUUUGUCUUUCGAUAUAAAGAUGUAUAGAAGCUGCAAGGAUUAAAUAAAAUCUGAAAGCUAAAAGGAUUAAAGAAAAUCUAGAGAAUGCAGGUUUGGCUCAGGAGAGUUUACCAGCCAAUGUGGUUGCGUAUGCACAGGUUCUUGCCAAUUUCUCUAACUUGUGUUCGCUAAAUUUCAUUGUUAAAUUUUGAAUUUUGAAACUUUUUUUUUAAUUUAUAGUUUUGUUGCAUACAAUUUUUAAUAUCUUCGUGUCGUGUUCUAGCACAAUAUGUACAAACUGCUGCCUUGCCUUGGUAAUGGUUGUUUGGUUGUUGUUAACUGUACUAACAUUUAACUCGACCUUGCACUUACAUGUUUUUAGCAUAUUUGACAUCUAACAUUGUUCUUAUGCAGACAACAGAGUUAUGAAUUUGGCCAAGAGUGUGAAUUCUUUCAAACAUACUAGUAGUGUAUAAUCUAAAAAAGUGUUACGAUAUAUAUGUUUGGCAUUCAAAUAAAAUGGUUUAUUUUCAAUACAUAUUGGACUGUACAAACCUACUGAAUUAGAAUUUUAACAAAAGGAAGUGAGUUUUUUUCAUUAAUUAUUGUGUAAACAUAUUUAAAUAAAGUAAUAGUACAAUGUUGUGAUAUGGUUAGAUUGUAUGUAUAAAUUACCAGUGUUGAAUACUAAAUAAAUGAAAAACAUUCUUUUAAUCUGAUUUUAGGGACGACAAUAAACCAAACCAAUUUAGAAAUAGAUCGGAAUUCAAUUCGACAACUAAAUCAUUGAACUAGUUUCAUGAACUAAAUGAGUUAAAUAUAAGAAAAAAAAAUUAAAUUUGUUAACUAAAUGAACUGAGCUAUAUAUAAGAUAUAUAAGAUGUAUUAUAACAAGACAACACAAACUCUAACACAAAUUACAAUAUCAGUUCUGCACUAAAAUUAGGUUUGUAGUUUGUUAUUUAAAACAAUCUUCUGGACUGGAUUGUGCUUUCAAGUCGUAGCAGGGCACUGCUGAAAAUUCUCCAAAAUCCUCUCCAUAAAGAUAGGGCUCAAAUAAUUAGUUUCCUAAAUAUUUUUCAUAUUUAAAAACUAAUCAUACAUCUUGAAAGUAGAGAAUAUCUUAUAUCCCUAAAUCAAGUGCCACAUAGGAUUGCACAAUAUUCCAAAAUAUUCUGCACCUGUAACUAAAUAACAGACUUGAAAGAUCCAGUUGUACAUAUAGUCACGAUGUCAUAUGAUCCUUGAUCGGAAAAAUAGCAAGUGUACUAUUUUUACCGGUGUUGUAAUAAGAGGGAGUUAAUCCCAAGUAUCGAUUUCGCGGACUGCGUAGGAAAUAUAAGCUAUUAUAAUGAUUCAAAUGAAUAAAAGAACAUGUGUGUUUGUUGGUUGUUUGAGAAUAAGACUAAUGACAACAAAUUAAACAAACCGAAAAGUAGAGGUAUAUAAUAUAUGAGAAAGCAUGCUAGGGCUAGGUGUGUGAGUUGCUUCCGAAGACCGUUCGUCCAUGUUUUAUGACAUACGGUGAAAAUGAAUCAAUACCGAAUCUCAAGAUUUGUUUUCCUUAAUUCCUUAACCAAAAACCUUUGAUAGUCAUUCUUAAUCCUAAUUCCUUAGCUAUUAACGGUGACAUCAAGCAAUUUGAAUUGUUUACCAAGACUUUAACGGUUACUACGGUUGAAUCCUCAUUCCUAAGCGAUUGCACCGUAGUAUUAUUGUGCACAAGCGUUAAGGUUGUUUGUCCGACCUAACCUUAAUCGUAAGUAAAAAACUAUUGGUCCGAUAGAAAAAGCAUUAAGAUCAUUGCACAAUAAAUGAAACUCAUAAAAACAUCAAUAUCAUAAAACAAUGGAAAUUUGGUCUUUAACAUUUGCAAUUCAGGGACACCCCCUAGCAUUGGGGGUUUAGCUACUCAUGAUAUUCAAGAAAAUUACAAAGAGAGGUAUAAACAUUACAAAAAUUCUGGAUUCUUUUGAUCUCCAAUCGCUAUUGCUCUUGAAGACCUCCUUCUCCCAAAACCCUUGCUAGCUCUUCCUUCCUUGUGUAAUUCUUUCUUUCGGUUGAUCAAAGAUGCCAAAAUGUUUUUCAAAACUAGGUUUACAUAGUCUUAGGUCCCUAAACAGCCAUGCAGAAAGUCCAAAGUACCCUUAAUGAGCCAAAGCACUUCAGAUUUUGAAAACAACUUUCUUUUCUCACGCUUGCCAACACGGGUCGUGUCAACUGACACGGGUGGCCGUGUUGGCACACUGACUUCUUAUUUGUGAGUUCUUUGCAUCAGGCCUGCUGACAUGGGCCGUGUCAGCCUUCUAUUUUUGAUCCUCUUGUACUCUUCAUCUUCCCAUCCUGACAUAGGCUGUGUUAGGUGACACGGGGACCCGUGUCACACUCCUGUUCUUGAGAAAAUCACACUUUUAACUUUUGUGGACUGUUCUUCGGCUUAGCAUCAGUGGUUGGACCUGCUCGCUUACAUUUUAGACAUUAACACUACCAAACCAAGCAUCAAAAACACCCUAAUUAUUAUGAAAUUCAAAGUAAUGCAACUGCAAACUAACCAAAUGGGAAACUGAAAUAGAAUACGAAAAACGAUAAAUGAUACACAUUGUGUUACCGGAAUGAUAGACUUUUUGCCGAGUGAUUGACUAAAACCAAGUACAAAUGGUGACCGAUCACAACCCCAAACUUAUCUCAUUGUUUGUCCUCAAGUAAUGUAAGAGACAACAAAGAGGUCACCCCAAAAUUUCUUCUUACCACAAUACCGUCGAUGUUAUUCGCAACUAGCUUUCUACCUUCCCAGUCAAGAUUCUGGUACUCCGAUCCUAUCUAUCUGCUACACUUCUUUACUUGCAAGCUUUUUCACACUUCUCACAAAGUCCCUCGGGGUUAAAACACUCACAAUUCAGUAUAUGCAAUAUCGACUCUUAACUUUGAAUAAAUCCUACUUUCACUGCACACAAAUUUUCACACACUUUUGGAGGUCUUCGGGUUGCUUUAGAGAUAAACUUCUUGAAUCCUUAUCUUGAAUGAUUAUCUGUUAGUUUUCUGAACUCUAGAGAUAGAUUUAGAGCUAACAUUCAAUAUGGGUAUCUGUACUUAAUGCUUUCGUGUUUUAGCGACGCGCGAGAGAUCGCCGACGCGAGAAUACAGAUGUUCUCACAACUUUGCAUUAGAGAUAACUUUGGCUGUGAGUUGAUCUCGUAGGUGCUCCAAAUAUGGACACUGUUAUGAGAGAUACGUGAUGACAUUGACGAGUAUCGUAGGUUGAGUAUAACAGGUCAAUAAGUUUAAGUUUGUGAGAAGUAUAUUAUAUGCAAUGCUUGAUAAGUCUUAUCUUUCCGAAGAAUGAAUUCUUUUUAUGUUCAUAUUUACUUUUCCAUUUUUAUACUUUUGUUCAUUCAAACCCGAGUUCGAAAUCAUAGAAAUCGUUGAAUGGCAUUCUCAUCAUCCCUAUGGACACGAUAAUUCCCAGAUAAAUAUUUCCAAAACUUUUGUUGUUUGUCGCUAUGCAUGCCUCAACAAUAUCCGAACAUACCCUUUUUCAUAAAAAAUAAGGUUUAUUCGAAUAUCUCUAAAAACAGGCAUUUUAGAAAUUUCGUGCCAGACCUAAAAAAUGUAUAAGGGUGGAAUGAAAAAUUCCCAAUUUGAAUGGGUAUUGGAUAACUAGCCUUUUAAUGUGGAAGAAAGUG